UAGGAUGCUUCAUCUUCAACAUCUGGUCCACCUAUGCCUUCACUUAGGGAAACUACAGAAAGUCAACCCAAACCUUCUGAUUAAGGCUGGCAGAUACCUACCCAGACAAAAGGCAGCUGUUUUCCUGGUUCAUGGCCCAGAUCACUGUGCUCAUGGCAGCCCUCCCAGCAUGGUGAUGGAGGGGCCAUUGCAUGUAAUGGAAGCUCCUC
rnacentral:lncRNA from 1 species